GCACCUGUGGCGCAAUGGAUAGCGCACCAGACUUCGGAUCUGGGGGUUGCGGGUUCAAGUCCCGUCGGGUGUA
rfam:Giardia intestinalis strain GS GS_B_0002, whole genome shotgun sequence.